rnacentral:rRNA from 1 species
AUUGAACGCUGGCGGCAUGCCUUACACAUGCAAGUCGAACGGUAACAGGUCUUCGGAUGCUGACGAGUGGCGAACGGGUGAGUAAUACAUCGGAACGUGCCUAGUAGUGGGGGAUAACUACUCGAAAGAGUGGCUAAUACCGCAUGAGAUCUACGGAUGAAAGCAGGGGAUCGCAAGACCUUGUGCUACUAGAGCGGCCGAUGGCAGAUUAGGUAGUUGGUGGGAUAAAAGCUUACCAAGCCGACGAUCUGUAGCUGGUCUGAGAGGACGAUCAGCCACACUGGGACGGAGACACGGCCCAGACUCCUACGGGAGGCAGCAGUGGGGAAUUUUGGACAAUGGGCGAAAGCAGGAUCCAGCAAUGCCGCGUGCAGGAUGAAGGCCUUCGGGUUGUAAACUGCUUUUGUACGGAACGAAAAGCCCCGGGUUAAUACCCUGGGGUCAUGACGGUACCGUAAGAAUAAGCACCGGCUAACUACGUGCCAGCCGCCGCCGUAA